GAUGAAGAACCUAGCGAAAUGCGAUAAGUAAUGUGAAUUGCAGAAUUCAGUGAAUCAUCGAAUCUUUGAACGCACAUUGCGCCCGCCAGUAUUCUGGCGGGCAUGCCUGUUCGAGCGUCAUUACAACCCUCAGGCCCCCGGGCCUGGCGUUGGGGAUCGGCGGAGCCCCCCGUGGGCACACGCCGUCCCCCAAAUGCAGUGGCGGUCCCGCCGCAGCUUCCAUCGCGUAGUAGCUAACACCUCGCGACUGGAGAGCGGCGCGGCCACGCCGUAAAACACCCAACUCUUCUGAAGUUGACCUCGAAUCAGGUAGGAAUACCCGCUGAACUUAAGCAUAUCAAUAAGCGGAGGA
rnacentral:misc_RNA from 1 species